GCACAAGCGGUGGAGCAUGUGGAUUAAUUCGAUGCAACGCGAAGAACCUUACCAAGGCUUGACAUGUUUUCGAUCGCCGUGGAGACACGGUUUCCCCUUUGGGGCGGAUUCACAGGUGGUGCAUGGUUGUCGUCAGCUCGUGUCGUGAGAUGUUGGGUUAAGUCCCGCAACGAGCGCAACCCUCGUUCCAUGUUGCCAGCACGUUGUGGUGGGGACUCAUGGGAGACUGCCGGGGUCAACUCGGAGGAAGGUGAGGACGACGUCAAAUCAUCAUGCCCCUUAUGUCUUGGGCUUCACGCAUGCUACAAUGGCCGGUACAAUGGGUUGCAAUACUGUGAGGUGGAGCUAAUCCCAAAAAGCCGGUCUCAGUUCGGAUUGGGGUCUGCAACUCGACCCCAUGAAGUCGGAGUCGCUAGUAAUCGCAGAUCAGCAACGCUGCGGUGAAUACGUUCCCGGGC
rnacentral:rRNA from 1 species